UACAGAGGUCUCAAGCGUUGUUCGGAUUCAUUGGGCGUAAAGCGCGUGUAGGCGGCCCGGUAAGUCCGCUGUGAAAGUCGGGGGCUCAACCCUCGGAUGCCGGUGGAUACUGUCGGGCUCGAGUACGGAAGAGGCGAGUGGAAUUCCUGGUGUAGCGGUGAAAUGCGCAGAUAUCAGGAGGAACACCAAUUGCGAAGGCAGCUCGCUGGGACGUUACUGACGCUGAGACGCGAAAGCGUGGGGAGCAAACAGG
rnacentral:rRNA from 1 species